UGUGCUUUUUGCUCUGAUGAUAUUUCGAGUAGGAAUCUCACUGAGCUACCUGUAGCUAUGAAAUCAAUCUUAAUCUCUCACUGAUCCAAUUAUU